AAAGCGUGCGCAGGCGGUUUUGUAAGACUGUCGUGAAAUCCCCGGGCUCAACCUGGGAAUGGCGAUGGUGACUGCAAGGCUAGAGUUUGGCAGAGGGGGGUAGAAUUCCACGUGUAGCAGUGAAAUGCGUAGAUAUGUGGAGGAACACCGAUGGCGAAGGCAGCCCCCUGGACCUGUACUGACGCUCAUGCACGAAAGCGUGGGGAGCAAACAGGAUUAGAUACCCUUGU
rnacentral:rRNA from 1 species